ACAACAGUCGAGACCUGCUGGAGUUCAAACCAACAAGCAUCAUUAUGGACAAUAAAAGUGAUUUAAGUGACUUUGAAUGUGGCACCAUGUAUGUGCAGCUGAUGUUAUAACAUCAAUAAGGACCUACACAUAUGGAGAAAGUUUCCAGGAGCUUUUUGAAUAAAUGCCGCGAAGCAUUAAGGCAAAAAGGAGGUCUAAACCGGUGUUAACAAGGUGUACCCGCUAAAGUGGUCGACAAUCUCUGGUCCCUGAGCGCGUUGUCGUUUCCCCUCGGGCCCGUUAUCAGAUCCCCUCUGUAGGCUCCCAGCAGCUGCAGUUAUUGUGGAAGACUCUGGUUUUAUGGCCUCAUGAUGUCUGCGACAACACCGGCUUUUAUGACUGAGUACAUGCUCUCCUGUGGUCGUUGGCACUCGUCCUUCUGGCAUCCUUACAAAUUAUGACAAAAAGAGAUGAACCUGCAGGUCAGUCUCACACAGUCUGCC